rnacentral:rRNA from 1 species
AUAACUCCUAGUGGCGAACGGGUGAGUAACGCGCUAGACAACCUACCUCUAAAAUGGGGACAACACCGCGAAAGUGGUGCUAAUACCGAAUGUGGUAUCUCGGUUGCAUGACUGAGAUAAGAAAGAUGGCCUCUAUUUAUAAGCUGUCGUUUAGAGAUGGGUCUGCGUCUGAUUAGCUAGUUGGUGAGGUAACGGCUCACCAAGGCGACGAUCAGUAGCCGGUCUGAGAGGAUGAACGGCCACACUGGGACUGAGACACGGCCCAGACUCCUACGGGAGGCAGCAGUGGGGAAUCUUCCGCAAUGGACGAAAGUCUGACGGAGCAACGCCGCGUGAGUGAAGAAGGUCUUCGGAUUGUAAAGCUCUGUCGUUUGGGACGAACGUAUGCUGUGUGAAUAAUGCAGUGUAAUGACGGUACCAAAGGAGGAAGCCACGGCUAACUACGUGCCAGCAGCCGCGGUAAUACGUAGGUGGCAAGCGUUGUCCGGAAUUAUUGGGCGUAAAGGGCGUGUA